GCUGUUCUUUCCAUCAUGGGAAAAUUUUCAGGUAGCCAACUGUUUUGAAAUAAAAUUCCCUGCAGUUGCUAUAGUGAUGAUAAUAAAGUUCCUGCCUCAAUUUACGUGAUAGAGGUUCCUAGCAGAACACUUGAAAAGAGUCUAUGUUUGAUUUGAAGAGGUUGCUCAGUUCAGAAAUGAAUGAAAGCAGCUCCACCUUGGGCAUUCACUAGACCUGCAUCUAGAGGACUUCCAGAUUCUGAAGUUUCCUGCAACUGAAGUUCUGAGCAGCUCUGUUUCUCCUCAGAAGAUCUGUCUGUGUGCAUAUGUCAGCCCAGAAAGAUUGUGG
ensembl:lncRNA